UACGGGGGGGGCAAGCGUUGUUCGGAAUUACUGGGCGUAAAGGGCUCGUAGGCGGCCAACUAAGUCAUACGUGAAAUCCCUCGGCUUAACCUGGGAACUGCAUCUGAUACUGGAUGGCUUGAAUCCGGGAGAGGGAUGCAGAAUUCCAGGUGUAGCGGUGAAAUGCGUAGAUAUCUGGAGGAACACCGGUGGCGAAGGCGGCAUUCUGGACCGAUAUUGACGCUGAGGAGCGAAAGCCAGGGGAGCAAACGGG
rnacentral:rRNA from 1 species